CCCGAGACUCAGUGAAAUUGAAAUCGCUGUGAAGAUGCAGUGUAUCCGCGGCUAGACGGAAAGACCCCGUGAACCUUUACUAUAGCUUUGCACUGGACUUUGAAUUUGCUUGUGUAGGAUAGGUGGGAGGCUUUGAAGCGUGGACGCCAGUCUGCGUGGAGCCAUCCUUGAAAUACCACCCUGGCAACUUUGAGGUUCUAACUCAGGUCCGUUAUCCGGAUCGAGGACAGUGUAUGGUGGGUAGUUUGACUGGGGCGGUCUCCUCCUAAAGAGUAACGGAGGAGUACGAAGGGGCGCUCAGACCGGUCGGAAAUCGGUCGUAGAGUAUAAAGGCAAAAGCGCGCUUGACUGCGAGACAGACACGUCGAGCAGGUACGAAAGUAGGUCUUAGUGAUCCGGUGGUUCUGUAUGGAAGGGCCAUCGCUCAACGGAUAAAAGGUACUCCGGGGAUAACAGGCUGAUACCGCCCAAGAGUUCAUAUCGACGGCGGUGUUUGGCACCUCGAUGUCGGCUCAUCACAUCCUGGGGCUGAAGCCGGUCCCAAGGGGAUGGCUGUUCGCCAUUUAAAGUGGUACGCGAGCUGGGUUUAGAACGUCGUGAGACAGUUCGGUCCCUAUCUGCCGUGGAAUGGCUGUUCGCCAUUUAAAGUGGUACGCGAGCUGGGUUUAGAACGUCGUGAGACAGUUCGGUCCCUAUCUGCCGUGGACGUUUGAGAUUUGAGAGGGGCUGCUCCUAG
rnacentral:rRNA from 1 species